rnacentral:rRNA from 1 species
CCCUUAGAUGUUCUGGGCCGCACGCGCGCUACAAUGAUGAAUUCAACGAGUUUAUAACCUUGGUUGAAAAGCCUGGGUAAUCUUUUGAACUUUCGUCGUGAUGGGGCUAGACCCUUGCAAUUAUUGGUCUCCAACGAGGAAUUCCUAGUAAACGCAAGUCAUCAGCCUGCAUUGAUUACGUCCCUGCCCUUUGUACACACCGCCCGUCGCACCUACCGAUUGAAUGGUCCGGUGAAAUCUUCGGAUUGAGACUUUGAUUUCUUCACGGAAAACGCUGUUUUAAAAAGUUGAUUAAACCUUACCAUUUAGAGGAAGGUGAAGUCGUAACA